CGCCGAACGGAGCCUCCACUCCGCGGGUCACCGAGGUCAGGAAGCCGUCGAAGGUCGACACCUGCCGCGGGUUUACCGCUAUCGUCCUUCCGGGAAAGAAGGCGUCCCCGUUCCGGUAGACCCGUACUAUUCUGGUUGGAGGCUGGUUAUUUGAGGACUGGGUCAGCGGCCCAUAUCUUUUUAACUGCUGGACUUCAAUUCAUUGAACCACAUUCAUCAUUCAGAGAUGAUGUGCAUGUUGAAGACUGACUGUUGCACCAUGUGCUGAAGACAAAAUACAUGGUGGGCUGGCAAGCCACGUCGGUCCACUCUCCAGAGGCCACCAUCUCCGCGCAGUCUUCAUCGUCGUAGGCGUUGUUGGGCUCUCCUUUCCUCCAUUUUGUGAAAGUGGUCAUGGGAGAGCGAUC